UACGUAGGGUGCGAGCGUUGUCCGGAAUCACUGGGCGUAAAGGGCGCGUAGGCGGCGCGGAUAGUCGGCGGUGAAAGCCCGGAGCUCAACUCCGGGUCGGCCGUCGAUACUUCCGGGCUUGAGCACUGUAGAGGCAGAUGGAAUUCCGGGUGUAGCGGUGGAAUGCGCAGAUAUCAGGAGGAACACCGGUGGCGAAGGCGGGUCUCUGGGCAGUAACUGACGCUGAUGCGCGAAAGCUAGGGGAGCAAACAGG
rnacentral:rRNA from 1 species